UGGAACUGAAAUCCUCUUUUUGUGAGACAAGAGAGGAAGGAUCUGAGAAAAUAUCCAAAGAUCAUGAGGAACAGAAAGAAACGGAACAGCUAGGAGGGGCAGAUGAAAUGAAGAGCAAAGCAAUUGCUGUGAUUACCAUGGCGAUGUCAAACAAUCCUGAAUGUGAGGGAAGAUGGUCCAUAUGAUGGAGAGUGACUGGUGAUGUGAUCCCCAGCCAAUCUGUAUUACGGAUCAAAACAGACCCACCAUCCUGGAAGAAAACAGGCAGAUGAGAACAGCAGAACAGUUCCUAAAAAAAAUGAUAAAUGACAAACUUGCUUAAACCCUGCACUUGCAAUUUACUUGAAGAAAAUGUACAGGGAGUGAAAAGACAGGACAUCUGUUUUAUGUUAGUCCCACAGUGACCUGCUUAUUUGUCUAUAGGCAUCUCCACCUGUUCCAUUAAUAGGCAUGGAUCUUGUAAUAUUCCCCCUUCAUCCAUUCUAAACUGGAUGGAGCUCUCUGAAGCCAAGAGCUGCUGUCUCAUAAAAGUCUCAUUUAGCACAAACAAAGUAGUUUAGUGUGAAACUCUGCACCUUACCCCUGCCAAGGCCAAUGGAUGGAGCAGAUUGGGGCCUUCUGGGGAGCCAUUUCCUGGGAGAGCAGACAGCUUUGGGAACUGCCUAGGCAAGCAGCAGGGAUGUGGUCACCUAUGUCUUGAUUUUUGCACACAGAAGCCCUGAUUUAUCCUUGGGAUGGCCCCAUGUUUGUAAGCAAUAAAAUUCACCAACCAAAUAAAUAAAAAGCAACAUGUACCCAGCAAACAGUGCACUGGAGGAAGUGAAGGCUGCUCCUGCAUAGGUGCAAGGGAACCCCACCUCACCCCUGGAACAAUCCCACAGUGCAGCAGUCUGCACUCCUUGAAAUAAGGGUUAGGUGCCUAUUAGCAUAGCAAUAAGCACGGCAUAUCCUGGUGGUGGAAGGUCUGGGUUGGGGGCCUGGUCUUCAGCGUGCUGGCAAGUGCCAAGAAAAGCAGUUCUGUGGGGGAUACAAACUAGCCCUCUGAAGAUGUGUAACAAAUGUCCUUGUUGGGUGCACAACCUAGAGUGCCCUUGGAGAUUUUGGCCCAGAUUCUCAAAGGCAUUUUAAGUACCUAACAUUGAUCUGGGUCCUUGUGCCUUAACUUUAGGGAGGGGGUUGACUGCAUGAGGGAUGAAGCAACACGCCCUCAGAAAGCUCCCAGCAGCAUGAUACUCUUAAUGUAUUUCUGUGCAUGUUUGAUAUUUACAAUACGCUGGUUGUCCCAAAACAUAUUAUAACAGAAAGAAAAUUGAUUUUUCCAGUCCUUUAAUUUCAUAAAGUAAAUAGAAAAAGAAUUGCAUUGUCAGUGCUUUGCACUUUCAGUGCAGUAAGCACAAUGAAGUUGAAAUCCUGGACCCAGACCACAGGAUAAUUGGGUUUCAAAACUCAGGUGACUACAGUGAAAACUCUGGGCCAAAUGUACUUGGCCUGCCAAGAAGCCUGUGGGAAUUGAAAAAAUGCUAAUAAAUAAAUAAAUGGUGCAGUCAUCUGCUAAGUCAGGCCAGCACAGGGAAGGGGCUUGUGUACAGGCUGAGGAAGCAGAGCCAUGUCCUUGAAAUUCUGCAAAGACUGCAGAUCCAUGGCCAAAAUCCCCCCAGUCUCAGGGCAUCUGUACAGUGUGAUGGCCUUACAGCCCUGGCUUAUUUCAAGGAUUGUUCCUUGAAAGUUCAUGUAAGUGUUGACAAUUGUGCAUGGUCUGUAGCACAUAGAGCACUAUUCUAUUGAGGUUCUUAUAUUGUGCCCAUCACUAUGGUAUCUGAACUACUUGAGUAGGACUCCACUUACAUCUGCUGCAGGGGAAGAAGUCCCCCUGACCCAACCCUUUUAAAUGUAAAAUUAGUCUUUAAGUUUGGGGCAGUGAGGAAGGCUGU